AUGGCAGAGGAAGGCAACAAGAGCUCGAUGAAAGGCCGGAGCAAAGGACAUCAGAAGUUAUGGCAGAGGAAGCAACCGAGGAGAGAGUUGGUUGAUCUCGGGACUCUCCUCGUCCAAUGCGCACAAGCUGUGGCAGAACACGACCACCUGGAGGCCAGUGAACUCCUAAAGAAGAUAAGACAGCACUCCUCAGCAGAUGGUGAUUGUACUCAGAGACUGGCAUUUUACUUGGCGGAUGGCCUCGAGGCACGCUUGGCUGGGAUCGGGAGUCAGGUUUAUCGCAACCUCAUGGAGAGGCGAACAAGUACCACAGAUUGGUUAGACGCUUGCAGCCAUUUUCAUUCAUCCUGCCCUUUCGACAGGACGGCACACUACUUUGCCAGCCAAGCAAUUCUUGGUGUUUCACAAGGGCAACCAAGGGUGCACAUCGUUGAUUUUGGUAUCGGCUUCGGCCUUCAGUGGCCAUUAAUGAUUCAGAGGUUUUCACAGCAAGAAGAGGGAGCCCCUAAGCUUCGGAUCACAGGUAUAGACGUUCCUCAGCCAGGUUUCCACCCCUGUGAAAUGAUUGAGGAGACAGGGAAGCGGUUGGCUGAUUAUGCAAACAUGUUCAAGGUACCUUUUCAGUAUCAGGGCAUUGCCGCUUCAAGAUGGGAUACCAUUAAAAUUGAGGAUCUUAACAUUGACGAGGAUGAGGUUCUGAUAAUCAACUGCAUGUUCCGGAUGAAGAAUCUCGGCCAUGAAACCGAAGCCGUAAAUAGUAGGGAUAGGGUGCUAAAAACUAUGAGGAGGAUGAACCCAAAGAUUCUUAUUUUGGGCAUCGUGAGUGGGUUAAGCUGUUCACCCUUCUUCAUACAACGCUUCAAAGAGGUUAUGUUCCAUUAUUCUUCAAUGUUUGACAUGCUUGAUGCAAAUUUUCCUCCACCGGACAACAAAGCAAGAAAGAUGAUUGAGAAGAUACUAUUUGGGCAGGAUGCACUUAACAUCAUAGCAUGUGAAGGUGCAGAAAGAACUGAGAGGCCAGAAAGUUACAGGCAGUGGCAAGCAAGGUGCCUCAAGGCUGCGUUCCAGCCGCUUCUUGUCGAUCCAGCCACUUUAAAGAACAUAGUACAAAUGAAGAACAAACUUUCUCAUGAGGAAUUCUUUGUUGUUGAAGAUCGCGGUUGGCUGCUACAAGGAUGGAAAGGGAGAGUACUUUAUGCUAUAUCUAAAUGGGAACCUAACGAAACACAUGAUGAUAAGUAA
rnacentral:rRNA from 1 species